rnacentral:lncRNA from 1 species
AAAAAACCCAAACACCAAAUAUGAAAUGAAAAAGAAAGAAAAACAUAAAAGAAAAAGAAAAUUGUUCAACUCUCCGGCAUCCCUCAUCAACUUCUCUACUACCAUCGUCAAAACCAUCAAAUAUCCUACCCCUUUUUCGUCCAUGAUGGAUUGUGUGUAGAGACUGAAACCGUCGGAGUCCUUUCAUUCGCAUUUCUCUAACUCAUUUCACCUUUCUGACAAGGACCUUCUAUCUUCUUCGACCGCCGAUUCCGUUCUUGGAGGUGCCUCUGCAAUCCAAAUCUUUAGUGAAUCCCAUUGUUUCCC